GUGCUCACUUCGGCAGCACAUAUACUAAAAUUGUAACGAUACAGAGAAGAUUAGCAUGGCCCCUGGGCAAGGAUGACCUGCCAAGUUGUGAAGCGUUCCAUAUAAAA
ensembl:snRNA U6 U6 spliceosomal RNA